rnacentral:rRNA from 1 species
UCUGGUGAUUAUUGAGCAUCAGUCACCCUCUGUUCCAUCUCGAACCAGACAGGGAAACGAUGUAUCGCCGAUGGUACUUUGGCUUAAGCCACGGAAGAGUAGGUCGUUGCCAGAA